rfam:Cricetulus griseus cell line CHO-K1, whole genome shotgun sequence.
CCAAAGGCUCUUUUCAGAGCCACCCACCUCUUCCAGCAAGAGAGCU